rnacentral:rRNA from 1 species
AAGAUUGAUGUGAGGCUGAUAGUGAUAUCUUUCCAAUAACUGACUCACAGGAUGGUACUGACUUUCAUACAUGUGUUGCAUGGCUGUCGUCAGCUCGGUCGUGAUAUGUUUGGUCAAGUGUUAUAACGAGCGAAACCCUCGUUUUGUGUUGCUGAGACAUGUGCCUAAGGAGAAAUUGCCACCGAAGUGAGUCGAGGAUCCGAGUGAUGUGCCAACGCUACUAAUUGAUUGAGUGCCGGCGCGUAGCUGUGCUUUCAGCAAGAAUUUCACCAUUGGGAGCCGGUGCCUUUCGAAGCACUUUCACGUGUGAACCAAAGUCGUCUGGCAAGACCCACGGAGACCUCCCUAUAGUGACGUCAAAGUACCUGUGAGCAUGUAGGUUUGGUUGAAAUUGGUUACGACGACAUCGAGUUGGUGGCAGAGGAAGACUCAGCAUGAAGGCCAGCCGCCCGAUGGUGUGGAACGUAGUGGUAAUAGUACACACCCCGCUCCGAAACAAAGAAAAAGGUGUGUGGCACACUCACGAGGGACUGCCAGUGAGAUACUGGAGGAAGGUGGGGAUGACGUGAAGUCUGCAUGGCCCUUAUGGGCGGGGCCACACACGUGCUACAAUGGCAAUUACAAUGGGAAGCAAGGCUGUAAGGCAGAGCGAAUCCGGAAAGAUUGCCUCAGUUCAAAUUGUUCUCUGCAACUCGGGAACAUGAAGUUGAAAUCGCUAGUAAUCGUAGAUCAGCAUGCCUUGCUAAAUAU